ensembl:lncRNA
GGUACUCUGAGGUGAAGGAGCUGGUCAGAUCCCGGGGGAAGGCUGAAGUGAGUCGGGAUGAAGGACUGUUGAAGCAACUGGACCAGGAGAUGGCUGAGCUGAGGAGGAGAGACGCCAAGCUGGAGCAGCUCUCAAACACAGAAGACAACAUCCAAUUCCUCCAGAGUUUCCAGUCUUUCUAUGUCCCUCUGUUACCCAGCAUCACUGUCAACCAACAUGUCUUCUUUGAGGAUGUAAAGAAAUCAGUCUCUGAGCUGAAAAGUCAAGUUAAAAAGAUCUGCUCUGGGAGUAUUGCCAAGAUCUCUGUAAAAAUUACAAAAGUCUGCAUUGUUCGAUCUUCUGAGCCCCGUUGUCUUCCGUCAUUUGGCACAACUCAGUCUGGACUGUCAGUUGGUGGAUUAGCAUCACAUUGGAAUGACACCA